AAACUUAAAGAAUUUGACGGGGACCCGCACAAGCGGUGGAUGAUGUGGAUUAAUUCGAUGCAACGCGAAAACCUUACCUACCCUUGACAUGGCUGGAAUCCCGGAGAGAUUUGGGAGUGCUCGAAAGAGAACCAGUACACAGGUGCUGCAUGGCUGUCGUCAGCUCGUGUCGUGAGAUGUUGGGUUAAGUCCCGCAACGAGCGCAACCCUUGUCAUUAGUUGCUACGAAAGGGCACUCUAAUGAGACUGCCGGUGACAAACCGGAGGAAGGUGGGGAUGACGUCAAGUCCUCAUGGCCCUUAUGGGUAGGGCUUCACACGUCAUACAAUGGUACAUACAGAGGGCCGCCAACCCGCGAGGGGAGCUAAUCCCAGAAAGUGUAUCGUAGUCCGGAUUGUAGUCUGCAACUCGACUGCAUGAAGUUGGAAUCGCUAGUAAUCGCGGAUCAGCAUGUCGCGGUGAAUACGUUCCCGGGUCUUGUACACACCGCCCGUCACACCAUGGGAGCGGGUUUUACCAGAAGUAGGUAGCUUAACCGCAAGGAGGGCGCUUACCACGGUAGGAUUCGUGACUGGGGU
rnacentral:rRNA from 1 species